rfam:Pseudomonas fluorescens SBW25 complete genome
CUUUAUGGUGGCUGUGCGCAGGGCGCCCUCGGGCGCGCCGGGUUCCUGUUCUGACCGGUCGACUAACCUGCGUACAGCCGCCACCUUC